rnacentral:lncRNA from 1 species
GAAUCUUAAUUAGUACACUCACGUUCCCUGUGGAAAAUCGAUACUCUAGAAUACUCCCGGGUGAAGGCUACAUCGGUAUCCGUGCGCUUGCGGAUUUUUCUAUUUGCGUUUAAAAUACCCAACAAGCUUUCUAGCGCCGUUGCCGGGGAACGGUAGCUGUGCUAGUUUCGAACCAAGUCGUCCGUGUAUCCUUUUUCUUUUUCUUUUUUACCACACUCACCUUAUCACUUUCGCCAUACCACAUGGAUUUCACUCUAAGCAUUAAUGAGCAUGGAAUUUAUUUCAUAGCCACUUCAUUUACUCCAUGCUCAUAUGCAACAUCUUCACAAUCCAUUGGUCUCUCCAACAUCACCACAUUCG